UACGUAGGGUGCAGGCGUUAAUCGGAAUUACUGGGCGUAAAGCGUGCGCAGGCGGUUUGCUAAGACAGGUGCGAAAUCCCCGGGCUUAACCUGGGAACUGCGCUUGUAACUGGCAAGCUUGAGUGUGGCAGAGGGGGGUGGAAUUCCACGUGUAGCAGUGAAAUGCGUAGAGAUGUGGAGGAAUACCGAUGGCGAAGGCAGCCCCCUGGGAUAACACUGACGCUCAUGCACGAAAGCGUGGGGAGCAAACAGG
rnacentral:rRNA from 1 species